AAUAAUUUGUUUGGGAUUUUGUUCGAAACUGCUUUCGGAAUAAAAAGAAAGAAGAGAAAAGAAAGACCAU
rnacentral:ribozyme from 15 species